UCGUGGACUUCGUUCGGUGGUGGAUCUCAUCCCUUUCUCAUCCGUUUUUGUUGCAUUAUCCCCGCAUCACUACAGAAUUUCUGAGAAGAAUUGUGUAAAUUCUCUGUGAUUGAUCUAUGAUCAAGAGUAGAUUCAGCUGCAAAUUUCUCUGAAAAUACUCUGAGAGGGUUGAUUUGUGUUUGAUUUCAAUUGAUCUUAGAACAGAUCAUAACAUUUUCACUCCAGAUUUUCUUUCCGAGUGGAUUUGUCAUGUUGGCAUGUGUUAUAGUGAAAGUAAGGAACUGGGGAUCCAGGUAGUUGUAAUAUUCCAUAUGUUUGCCUGAAUGAGUGAACCUUACCCUUGUCAUCCUCUGACCUGACAGAAAUAUAAGCUUGUGCCUGUGAAGGAGAUCACUUUGUGCUCAUCAACGGUUGAAAUGUUCUUAGGUUAAUUAUUUGUGUACCUUGCACUAUGAAGUCAUUGGAUUAUUAGACAAAUAUUUGGACGUUAUUUCAGGGCCAAUCACAGAUCAAGCUCCCAACACACAAAUCCUCUUCGUUGAUUAUUAGACAAAGUAGGAGAACAGAAUCAUCACCCAUCUGUAUGUGGAUUCUCCUCCACAGUGUGUUCGUAGUACUUUGAUUGGAAGUGAGUACUGUUUCUCCACUAGUAACUUGAAUAGCUUGAAUUGAUGAAAAGUUUAUGAUUUCUUUUUUAUGAAAAACACCCAGCUGUAUAUUGUAAAAUCAUCAGUAAAGAGGAUAAAAUACAAGUUACCUCCAAUGGAUGGAGUGCUGAUUGGCCUAACAAGAUCGACAUGAAUCAUCUCCAAUGGAGCUGAUGCUCUCUUGGCCUCGCCUUUAGGGAAUUCUGCAUGAGCAUGCUUCCCUUGUAAACAAGCUUCACAGGGAUCAGUAUUUGUGAUAUUUGGCAGACCAAGUGCCAGCUCUUGUUUAGAAAUCAUGAUCAAUUUCUUCAUGCUAAUGUGACCAUAUCUAUUGUGCUAGAGAUCUGAGGUCUUUUCUGCAACUAGAGCUAUAUUUGCAAAUCCAAUAUCAUCAGCUUCAAGUGCAAAUAGCAUGUUUGAGGUCAUACAUACCUGAGCUAUUUUUGCUUUGGAUUCAGAGUCCUUGAUUUCGUAGACUCCUCUUGAAAAUUCAAUCUCAAAGACUGAGUCCAUCAUUUGUCCAACACUUAGCAGGUUAUAAGCUAAGUUUGGAACAAAUUGAACAUCAUUCAGACUUGUAAUCUUUCCUUUGCUUGAGUAGAGAAUUAUUUUGCCAAUUUCCUCCACUGUGAGAGCUUUUCCAUCUCCCACUUUGAUUGAAUGACUCAAAGUAGCUUCAAUGUGUUGGAAUAAACUUUUCUCACUUGUCAUGUGGUUGGAGCAACAAUUAUUGAUGAGCCAGGUAUCUCCUGUCUUCUUUGGUUCUUCACUGAUUGCCAUAUAAAACACUGCACACUCUUAUAUUGCUUGCUGGAUUCUACCCCACGACCAAGCUCCAUACGGCUAGCUUCAAUGCUCUUGUCGCGCCCGCCCCCUCUACCUCUGAGAGAGUGGCGACCUCAUCCUCUCCCACAUCUGUUGGGGACCAUCAAAGUGAUACAGAGAUCCUUCACCAGCAUGCAGAGCCUUUUCUCCUUCAAGGCCUAUUGAGCUGGUGGAGUCUAGAACUGAGCACACAGAAAAUGAAGUUACUGAUGAAAUGAAAAGUAAUGUGAUUUCCUAGGUUUCUUUUGGGCCAGAACCCUUCAAUUUAACACGUCUUCAAAGUGAAAUCAAGGCUAUCUAGCAAGGCUUAUUCCAUGGAUUCAGCCACUUCCUGAAUGCAGCUAAAGAAAUGGCAAAGGAAUAUUUCAUCUAUUCUAACCUCACCAUCAAUGGUUGCGCCGGUGCCGUAGGGCAACCUAUGAUAACUUAAAAGAAUAAAUGAGAAAAACUAAAAACUACACAUAUUAUUCAUAAUCACUGAAGCCUUUAUAAAGGCAAAAAUUUGAAAAAAAUGAUCUCUACAAAAGAUGAGAUAAUAUAAUAACUAAUUUGAAUUUUAAUCAACAAACAACUAAUGUAAGCAUUUAAAUCUCUACAAAGAUCUCUUAGUUAAAUUAAGACAAACAUCAUUAUUUCAACAACCUGUGCAAGCUGUUCCUAAGAAGCAUGGCACCCCUUAUUCUGAAAUUUACGUGGAAAUCAAAGAGCUCUAAUAAAAUACAGAAUCUUUUGCCAACAUAUAUUAGUCUGACGUUUGUUCUUUUUUUAUUUGGAUGGAGUUUAUAAUUGUUAAUAGAUUGCAUUUCUUGUUCAUGAUUAAUUGGUGGUUAUGGAGUCAUGACUAAUUUCGCAUAUUUAUUAAUAGUCAUGAAUUUUCCACUUUGCUGCAUUAGUAGUUAAAUAGAUAUAUACUUCAUGCACAUCUUUGAAUGCCUUCUCAAUUGAUAUUGAGAAUGAAAUGAAGUGAGACUUUUUUUUUCCCAGUAUAGCCCUUCAAUUUAGGGCCAUUUCCACCUUUAGUUUA